rnacentral:rRNA from 1 species
AGAAUCAACGCUGGCGGCGUGCCUAACACAUGCAAGUCGCACGAGAAAGGGAGUUCGCUCCUGAGUAAAGUGGCGCACGGGUGAGUAACACGUGAAUCAUCUACCUCCGAAUGGGGAAUAACUGAGAGAAAUCUUAGCUAAUACCGCAUAAUACCUACGGGUCAAAGCAGCAAUGCGUUUGGAGAGGAGUUCGCGGUCGAUUAGUUAGUUGGCGGGGUAAUGGCCCACCAAGACGAUGAUCGAUAUCCGGCCUGAGAGGGCGCACGGACACACUGGAACUGAAACACGGUCCAGACUCCUACGGGAGGCAGCAGUGGGGAAUUUUGCGCAAUGGGGGAAACCCUGACGCAGCAACGCCGCGUGGAGGAUGAAAUAUCUUGGUAUGUAAACUCCUUUCGAUGGGGAAGAUAAUGACGGUACCCAUAGAAGAAGCCCGGCUAACUUCGCGCCAGCAGCCGC